UACGUAGGGGGCAAGCGUUAUUCGGAAUCACUGGGCGUAAAAGCGUGCGUAGGCUGUUUUUUGUAAGUUGGGAGUGAAAGCCCAGGGCUUAACCCUGGAAUUGCUCUCAAAACUACAAGACUCGGAUUCGGGAGAGGAUAGCGGGAAUUGUCAGUGUAGCAGUGAAAUGCGUAGAUAUUGACAGGAACACCAGUGGCGCAAGCGGCUAUCUGGACCGACAUCGACGCUGAGGCACGAAAGCGUGGGGGAUCAAACAGG
rnacentral:rRNA from 1 species